rnacentral:rRNA from 1 species
GAUGAACGCUGGCGGCGUGCCUAACACAUGCAAGUCGAACGAAGCUCUUACGACAGAACUCUUCGGAGGGAAGAUGUAAGAGACUGAGUGGCGGACGGGUGAGUAACGCGUGGGUAACCUGCCCUAUACAGGGGGACAACAGUUGGAAACGACUGCUAAUACCGCAUAAGCGCACAGUACCGCAUGGUACAGAGCGAAAAACUCCGGUGGUAUAGGAUGGGCCCGCGUCUGAUUAGCUAGUUGGAGGUGUAACGGACCACCAAGGCGACGAUCAGUAGCCGGCUUGAGAGAGUGAACGGCCACAUUGGGACUGAGACACGGCCCAAACUCCUACGGGAGGCAGCAGUGGGGAAUAUUGCACAAUGGGGGAAACCCUGAUGCAGCAACGCCGCGUGAGUGAAGAAGUAUUUCGGUAUGUAAAGCUCUAUCAGCAGGGAAGAAAAUGACGGUACCUGACUAAGAAGCCCCGGCUAACUACGUGCCAGCAGCCGCAGUAA